AUUGUGUUACUAAUUCAGCCAUGUUUCAGUGUUUGUUGCUGCUACAGAAGUUGUUAGUUGACUCGCAUUGACGGUACUGAAGGUCCAAGCAGACGAGACCUGAAAGUACUGAACAAUUGAGCACGUAGUUUGUUUUUUUUAUUACAUAGGAAAGGGAAUUUAAAUGUUAAAUACAGUUGUUGCAAUGUUAUACUUUUAAAAAUUUUUUAAAUGUUUUAGGUUCUAAUAAUGUUUUUAAUUUAAAAUAAUUUGUGAGAAACAAAGUGGAAAGACUUGGAAUCAAAUGUAGGAUGAAAUAUUUGGGUCAGCUGACUUCUUAUAUUUUAAGUCCAGAGACUGAAAUGUGCUUGAAUAGUGCUGUUUUAUCAGAAAGAAGAGUCUGUUAAUCACUGAGGAGGUUUUAAUGUAAAAUGAUGCAUGUGGACUUCAGCUCCUGAACCAGGUUUGGAUAUUUCUGCUGGAUCCCUUGUCACUGUGGCUGCGAAUGUGAUAAAACUGUUUUAUUCAAACAGACAAAUCAAAUUUGAACUGUACAUUUUCUCCUUGAGUCUUGAGUAAAUCCACUGAGUACAAACACUUGUCUUUUCAUGGGUUUUAUUUGUAAAUAAAAUUCUUCCUUAAUCUAAUGAUGAAAUGGCACAGUUUAAAUGCUUUAAUUUGGCUACAGUGAUAACGGAGUUAAAUUAAGUUAAUCUUUUGCUUUCAUCCUUUUCUACUUUAUCAAACAUGAUACCCUGAUAUUUGAAAUGUGGUUUUCUGUACCAUCUCAAGAGUUUACUGUGUAAUUGGCACAUGGAGUGAUUGUCUA